CUUCUAUGUUCUAUUCAAAGAAUGUCAAAAAACUUUCUAAGAACGUGGUUUUUGGUUUAUGUAUCAUCAACUACCUUUAAUGAUAUUCUAUCUUUCUUUUUUGGCUUCUUCUAUAAAAAACUAUCCUUCAAAAGAUAGCCAUAAGAUUGAUGUUAGAUAUUCUUAAAAGUCUUGUCUAACCAACCUUCUUACCUUCUAAGAGAGCUCAAAUAAAUGCCAAUAUUUCUCAGCCUAACUUUAUGUAGGUCUUCUUUCAAAGAUAAAUCACUAUCAUUUAUGCUUACUCUAUUCAUUGUCAAAAUAUAGCCAUAAUCUUCAUCUUCAUUGCCUUUAGUGAUUUUAUAUGCCUCCAACUCAUCCUCAUAUAUAUACCUUACUGUUGAUAACAUAUUUGCCCCUAAAUUCUUUCUCUUAGAGAUAUGCACCAAAAUAAGAUUUAGUAGUCUAAUGUAUACUAUCUACUAUAGAAUAGCAAUGUCUAGUAAGGAAUAAUUAAUAAUCAUCUCAAUUAAUAGCAAAUAGUCACUUUCUAAGACAAUAUUAAUAUCAAUCAAAUAAUUUUUGUCUACCUUUGAUAUUGUAAGUUCUUCCA
rnacentral:lncRNA from 1 species